ACGUACACUCCUACGGGAGGCAGCAGUGGGGAAUUUUACGCAAUGGGGGAAACCCUGACGUAGCGACACCGCGUGAGCGAAGAAGCCCUUUGGGGUGUAAAGCUCUGUCAGCUGGAACGAAAACAAUGACGGUACCAGCAGAGGAAGCAUCGGCUAACUACGUGCCAGCAGCCGCGGUAAGACGUAGGAUGCGAGCGUUGUCCGGAUUUAUUGGGCGUAAAGAGUUCGUAGGUGGUUUGUUAAGUUUGGUGUUAAAGAUCGGGGCUCAACCCUGGGACUGCACUGAAUACUGGCAGACUCGAGUGUGGUAGAGGCUAGUGGAAUUCCCAGUGUAGCGGUGAAAUGCGUAGAUAUUGGGAAGAACACCGGUGGCGUAGGCGACUAGCUGGGCCAUAACUGACGCUGAGGAACGAAAGCCAGGGGAGCGAAUGGGAUUAGAUACCCGGGUAGUCCCAUGA
rnacentral:rRNA from 1 species